rnacentral:rRNA from 1 species
GACGAACGCUGGCGGCGUGCCUAAUACAUGCAAGUCGAACGCAGUGGGGACGGGUGAGUAACACGUGGGUAACCUCCCAUCAAAGGGGAUAACACUUGGAAACAGGCGCUAAACCGAUACUGAUGGAUGGACCCGCGGUGCAUUAGCUAGGUGGUGAGGGAACGGCUCACCAAGGCCACGAUGCAUAGCAUGCCUGAGGGGGUGGUCGGCCAAGAUGGGAAUUGGAAAGUGCCCAAAAUCCUCAGGGAGGCAGCAGUAGGGGAUCUUCGGCAAUGGAGGAAAGUCUGACCGAGCAACGCCGGGUGAGUGAAGAAGGGUUUCGGAUCGUAAAGGUCUGUUGUUAAGGAAGCGGUACUUAACCAGAAAGGGACGGCUAACUACGUGCCAGCAGCCGCGGUAAUUC